UACAGAGGUCUCAAGCGUUGUUCGGAUUCAUUGGGCGUAAAGGGUGUGUAGGUGGCGCGCUAAGUCGGGUGUGAAAUUUCGGAGCUUAACUCCGAAACUGCAUUCGAUACUGGCGUGCUUGAGGACUGGAGAGGAGACUGGAAUUCGAUGGUGUAGCAGUGAAAAUGCGUAGAGAUCAUGAGGAAGACCAGUGGCGAAAGGCGGGUCGCUGGACAGUUCCUGACACUGAGACACGAAGGCCAGGGGAGCAAACGGG
rnacentral:rRNA from 1 species